UGGGGAAUCUUGCGCAAUGGACGAAAGUCUGACGCAGCGACGCCGCGUGGGUGAUGAAGGCCUUCGGGUUGUAAAGCCCUGUGGGGAGGGACGAAUAAGUGCAGGCUAAUACCCUGCAUGAUGACGGUACCUCCUUAGCAAGCACCGGCUAACUCUGUGCCAGCAGCCGCGGUAAGACAGAGGGUGCAAACGUUGUUCGGAAUUACUGGGCGUAAAGCGUGUGUAGGCGGCCUCGCAAGUCGGGUGUGAAAGCCCCAGGCUCAACCUGGGAAGUGCACUCGAUACUGCUUGGCUAGAGUGUCGGAGAGGUUGGUGGAAUUCUCGGUGUAGAGGUGAAAUUCGUAGAUAUCGAGAGGAACACCGGUGGCGAAGGCGGCCAACUGGACGAACACUGACGCUGAGACACGAAAGCGUGGGGAGCAAACAGG
rnacentral:rRNA from 1 species